rnacentral:rRNA from 1 species
CCUACGGGUGGCAGCAGUGAGGAAUAUUGGUCAAUGGACGAGAGUCUGAACCAGCCAAGUAGCGUGAAGGAUGACUGCCCUAUGGGUUGUAAACUUCUUUUAUAUGGGAAUAAAAUGUUCCACGUGUGGGAUUUUGUAUGUACCAUAUGAAUAAGGAUCGGCUAACUCCGUGCCAGCAGCCGCGGUAAUACGGAGGAUCCUAGCGUUAUCCGGAUUUAUUGGGUUUAAAGGGAGCGUAGGUGGAUUGUUAAGUCAGUUGUGAAAGUUUGCGGCUCAACCGUAAAAUUGCAGUUGAAACUGGCAGUCGUGAGUACAGUAGAGGUGGGCGGAAUGCGUGGUGUAGCGGUGAAAUGCUUAGAUAUCACGAAGAACUCCGAUUGCGAAGGCAGCUCACUGGACUGCAACUGACACUGAGGCUCGAAAGUGUGGGUAUCAAACAGGAUUAGAUACCCCAGUAGUC